GUGCAAAUAGGUGAUGAGGUCCACCAUAACUGCCUUGCCGAGGAAUUGGCCGGGAUGAUGACUUCUGCCCCACA
rnacentral:ncRNA from 2 species